GGUACAACCAGAUCUGCCUAGUAACAGGGCAGCCAAUCAGCUUAGUAGGAACAGUCCAUAAAUGUCUUGCUUAGUACUUCCACUUCCUCUUCUUUGCCUUCUGAACCGAAGACCCAAACCAAAUAUCCAUAUCAGGAAAGAACAAUCUCCAACAAGGUAGACAUCAUCACAACAAAAUCAAGCUGUAAAACAGAGAAAUAGUAGGUAAAAUCCAAACUCCGGAUCUGAAUGUAACAUAUCAUGACAAUCUGGCCUGUAGGACUAUAUACACCAACUGUCGUAAAACUCAUAAGUAAAUAGACCCGCUAUACGUCAACAAUCAAGAGCUAAACCGUGAACACUUACCUUGAGGUAAAAGAUCCCUCCCGAUUGAACCAUAAGUAUAGAUCCAAACCAUACCCAACGGGUGGGUGGGUAUAAUACUCGCCUCCGUGUCAUUAAUAAAAUCAUGACAUUACGUCAUGUUAUUAGUCAAAUCUGGGAAUUUUAUUAAUGACACAGAGGCUCCUAUUAUGCUAGUUUAAAGUUGAGCCACAACUAAUGAGUCAACAUGGUCAAUCGGGCGGAAAUAAAAAUCACGGAACAUAGAUUCUCUAGACCAAUCCGCUGCCUUCACGAUAUCAUCCAGACGACAUCCCAUCGUAGAAGCUUUUGACGCCAUGGCGCCUCUGACCGAAUGAGCCGAAAAUAUAGAAGUAUCGAUCCCUGCAGUGAAAAGAAGAUUCUUAAUCCAACGAGCUAACGUAGUCGAGGAGACCGGGAGAAACGGCUUCUUAAAGGAAAUAAACAAUUGGGAUAAAUCCAAUGACCUCAAUUGGUGAGUGCGAUCCAAGUAGACCCGUAGGCAAGCCACCGGACACAGAGCAGGUCGGACUGAACACCUAGGGUAGGUCACCGACUUAGAAGACGUCUUAGUCCUCCUAGAGUUGUUA